UGGGGAAUAUUGCACAAUGGGCGCAAGCCUGAUGCAGCCAUGCCGCGUGUAUGAAGAAGGCCUUCGGGUUGUAAAGCACUUUCAGCGGGGAGGAAGGUGUUGUGGUUAAUAACCGCAGCAAUUGACGUUACCCGCAGAAGAAGCACCGGCUAACUCCGUGCCAGCAGCCGCGGUAAUACGGAGGGUGCAAGCGUUAAUCGGAAUUACUGGGCGUAAAGCGCACGCAGGCGGUCUGUCAAGUCGGAUGUGAAAUCCCCGGGCUCAACCUGGGAACUGCAUUCGAAACUGGCAGGCUAGAGUCUUGUAGAGGGGGGUAGAAUUCCAGGUGUAGCGGUGAAAUGCGUAGAGAUCUGGAGGAAUACCGGUGGCGAAGGCGGCCCCCUGGACAAAGACUGACGCUCAGGUGCGAAAGCGUGGGGAGCAAACA
rnacentral:rRNA from 1 species